GACGAACCGAGCGAACGUUGUUCGGAAUCACUGGGCUUAAAGGGCGCGUAGGCGGGCCGCCGCGUCCGGGGUGAAAUCCUCCCGCUCAACGGGAGAACGGCCUCGGAUACGGGCGGCCUGGAGGGGGGUAGGGGCGUGCGGAACUGUGGGUGGAGCGGUGAAAUGCGUUGAUAUCCACAGGAACUCCGGUGGCGAAGGCGGCACGCUGGUCCGGUACUGACGCUGAGACGCGAAAGCGUGGGGAGCGAACAGG
rnacentral:rRNA from 1 species